CCUACGGGAGGCUGCAGUGAGGAAUAUUGGUCAAUGGGCGUAAGCCUGAACCAGCCAAGUCGCGUGAGGGAUGAAGGUUCUAUGGAUCGUAAACCUCUUUUAUAAGGGAAUAAAGUGUGGGACGUGUCCUAUUUUGUAUGUACCUUAUGAAUAAGGAUCGGCUAACUCCGUGCCAGCAGCCGCGGUAAUACGGAGGAUCCGAGCGUUAUCCGGAUUUAUUGGGUUUAAAGGGUGCGUAGGCGGCCUUUUAAGUCAGCGGUGAAAGUCUGUGGCUCAACCAUAGAAUUGCCGUUGAAACUGGGGGGCGUGAGUAUGUUUGAGGCAGGCGGAAUGCGUGGUGUAGCGGUGAAAUGCUUAGAUAUCACGCAGAACUCCGAUUGCGAAGGCAGCAUACCGGCGCUCAACUGACGCUCAUGCACGAAAGCGUGGGUAUCGAACAGGAUUAGAUACCCUUGUAGUC
rnacentral:rRNA from 1 species